CUACGGGCUGCAGCAGUGAGGAAUUUUGCGCAAUGGGGGAAACCCUGACGCAGCAACGCCGCGUGAGCGAAGAAGGCCUUCGGGUCGUAAAGCUCUGUCAAGUGGGAAAAAACGCUUUAGAUUAAUAGUCUAAAGAAUUGAUGGUACCACUGGAGGAAGCACCGGCUAACUCCGUGCCAGCAGCCGCGGUAAUACGGAGGGUGCAAGCGUUGUUCGGAAUUACUGGGCGUAAAGCGCGUGCAGGCGGUUUGGCAAGUCAGAUGUGAAAGCCCUGGGCUCAACCCGGGAAGUGCAUUUGAACUGCCUUUCUUGAGUAUGGGAGAGGAGAGUGGAAUUCCCAGUGUAGAGGUGAAAUUCGUAGAUAUUGGGAGGAACACCCGUGGCGAAGGCGACUCUCUGGACCAAUACUGACGCUGAGACGCGAAAGCGUGGGGAGCAAACAGGAUUAGAUACCCUCGUAGUC
rnacentral:rRNA from 1 species